UUUAAAGAGAGUUUGAUCCUGGCUCAGGACGAACGCUGGCGGCGUGCCUAAUACAUGCAAGUCGAACGAACGGAGGAAGAGCUUGCUCUUCCAAUGUUAGUGGCGGACGGGUGAGUAACACGUGGGCAACCUGCCUGUAAGUUGGGGAUAACUCCGGGAAACCGGGGCUAAUACCGAAUGAUAAGAUGUGGCGCAUGCCACGCCUUUGAAAGAUGGUUUCGGCUAUCGCUUACAGAUGGGCCCGCGGUGCAUUAGCUAGUUGGUAGGGUAAUGGCCUACCAAGGCAACGAUGCAUAGCCGACCUGAGAGGGUGAUCGGCCACACUGGGACUGAGACACGGCCCAGACUCCUACGGGAGGCAGCAGUAGGGAAUCUUCCGCAAUGGACGAAAGUCUGACGGAGCAACGCCGCGUGUAUGAAGAAGGUUUUCGGAUCGUAAAGUACUGUUGUUAGAGAAGAACAAGGAUAAGAGUAACUGC
rnacentral:rRNA from 1 species